UACGUAGGUGGCAAGCGUUGUCCGGAUUUACUGGGCGUAAAGAGCGCGCAGGCGGUCUUGUAAGUCGAAUGUGAAAGCCCCCGGCUCAACUGGGGAGGGUCAUUCGAUACUGCUCGACUUGAAGGCAGGAGAGGGAAGUGGAAUUCCGGGUGUAGUGGUGAAAUGCGUAGAUAUCCGGAGGAACACCAGUGGCGAAGGCGACUUCCUGGCCUGUUCUUGACGCUGAGGCGCGAAAGCUAGGGGAGCGAACGGG
rnacentral:misc_RNA from 1 species